CAGCAGCCACGGGAAUACGGAGGAUCCAAGCGUUAUCCGGAAUCAUUGGGUUUAAAGGGUCCGUAGGCGGUCUUGUAAGUCAGUGGUGAAAGCCCAUCGCUCAACGGUGGAACGGCCAUUGAUACUGCAGGACUUGAAUUAUUGGGAAGUAACUAGAAUAUGUAGUGUAGCGGUGAAAUGCUUAGAGAUUACAUGGAAUACCAAUUGCGAAGGCAGGUUACUACCAAUUGAUUGACGCUGAUGGACGAAAGCGUGGGUAGCGAACAGGAUUAGAUACCCGUGUAGUCCCUGUCUCUUAUAU
rnacentral:rRNA from 1 species